UACGUAGGGUCCGAGCGUUGUCCGGAAUUAUUGGGCGUAAAGAGCUUGUAGGUGGCUCGUUGCGUCGGGAGUGAAAACCUGCGGCUUAACCGCAGGCCUGCUUCCGAUACGGGCGAGCUAGAGUUCGGCAGGGGAGACUGGAAUUCCUGGUGUAGCGGUGGAAUGCGCAGAUAUCAGGAGGAACACCGGUGGCGAAGGCGGGUCUCUGGGCCGAUACUGACACUGAGAAGCGAAAGCGUGGGGAGCGAACAGG
rnacentral:rRNA from 1 species